rnacentral:rRNA from 1 species
AUUGAACGCUGGCGGAAUGCUUUACACAUGCAAGUCGAACGGCAGCACGGGGGCAACCCUGGUGGCGAGUGGCGAACGGGUGAGUAAUACAUCGGAACGUGCCCAGUCGUGGGGGAUAACGUAGCGAAAGUUACGCUAAUACCGCAUACGAUCUACGGAUGAAAGCGGGGGACCGUAAGGCCUCGAGGGAUUGGAGGGGCCGAUGUCAGAUUAGGUAGUUGGUGAGGUAAAGGCCCACCAAGCCGACGAUCUGUAGCUGGUCUGAGAGGACGACCAGCCUCACUGGGACUGAGACACGGCCCAGACUCCUACGGGAGGCAGCAGUGGGGAAUUUUGGACAAUGGGCGCAAGCCUGAUCCAGCCAUUCCGCGUGCAGGACGAAGGCCUUCGGGUUGUAAACCGCUUUUGUACGGAACGAAAAGGUCUCUCUUAAUACGGGGGGCUCAUGACGGUACCGUAAGAAUAAGCACCGGCUAACUACGUGCCAGCCGCCGCGGUAA